GUGUUAAUGGAUGAAUGGUAUAAAUUGUUGAUUUAUAAUAGCAACGACCCGGGAUCGAAUCCCGCAUUGGGCACU